UGGAGUGCACCAUUGUUGUUAUCAGAUCUUUUGUUAAAUAGCGAAAAUUGUUUUUUCAAUCCAAUUUGACAGUGGCGUAAUGUUGCCUGUUGGCGCCCCCGCUGAAAAAGCACCCCCUAGCCUGUUGGUGCCACCUCCCUUUUGAAGCCCCUCCCUAACUUGGACAAAUUAAAUGAUGUAAGAGGAUACCCCGGUAAAAUCUCUAAAAAAGCGAGUCCUGAUGUUACUCAUCACCUGGCUGUAGUCUUCCUUGGUCUUGGUGGCUAUCAACACAGCAAGUCUUCUUAUGAAACGCUUGGCCUCAGGUGCCAUUUCUCCUGUAGUGGUAAAAUACAAGGGGGACGAAUGACCCUUCUGCAAAAAAAGGAGACUAUUUUAAACGGAUCUGUUAAUGAUAGUCAUUUUUGGUAUGUUUCGGACGAAGUAUUAGGAAAGAUUGAGAUAUUAAAUUAUGUUACUAAUAAAGAGAAGCACAAUGAAUAUCUUAUGUGUAAUCCUCAUAUCGCUUUAUCAACUUAUAUAGUAGUGGAAAGUAUGUAGAUUAGAUUCAUUUUUAACUUGGUUGUUUAGGCCAAUAGAUUUUAGAUAAUUUUAAAACUUUAGUAGAUAUAUUUUUGAUGAUUUGUGAUGAUGUUUGUGUCAUUAUAUUUUGAUUUUGAUUUUUUUUUUCAAAUGUAGCACUCGGUUCAUGUACUGGUUCUUUUUCAAUCGGAUAUUUAUAAUUCUAUAUGUAUUGAUUCUUCUGUGCCCACGUUAAGGGGCCUGUUAAUAAUUUAUUAAAUUAUUAGCUAUUUUAGAUUUAAUAAUCUGUGGAAAAUAAAAAUUGUAUUUUACUUAAA